CCCUUAGACGUUCUGGGCCGCACGCGCGCUACACUGACCAGUGCAACAAGCAUCCGUCCUUGGCCGACAGGCCCGGGCAAUCUUUGAACGCUGGUCGUGAUGGGGAUAGACUUUUGCAAUUUUUGGUCUUCAACUAGGAAUUCCUAGUAAACGCAAGUCAUCAACUUGCAUUGAUUACGUCCCUGCCCUUUGUACACACCGCCCGUCGCACCUACCGAUUGAAUGGUCCGGUGAAGCCUCCGGAUUGGCGCGCACCUCGGUGCCGCCGAGAAGUUGGCUAAACCUUACCAUUUAGAGGAAGGUGAAGUCGUAACA
rnacentral:rRNA from 1 species